rnacentral:tRNA from 1 species
UAGCUCAGAUGGUGGAGUGUCUGCCUACAAUGCGGGAGACCCAGGUUCGAUCCCUGG